rnacentral:rRNA from 1 species
GAUGAACGCUGGCGGCGUGCCUAAUACAUGCAAGUCGAGCGAACAGAUAAGGAGCUUGCUCCUUUGACGUUAGCGGCGGACGGGUGAGUAACACGGGGGUAACCUACCUAUAAGACUGGAAUAACCCCGGGAAACGGGGGCUAAUGCCGGAUAACAUUUAGAACCGCAUGGUUCUAAAGUGAAAGAUGGUUUUGCUAUCACUUAUAGAUGAACCCGCGCCGUAUUAGCUAGUUGGUAAGGUAACGGCUUACCAAGGCAACGAUACGUAGCCGACCUGAGAGGGUGAUCGGCCACACUGGAACUGAGACACGGUCCAGACUCCUACGGGAGGCAGCAGUAGGGAAUCUUCCGCAAUGGGCGAAAGCCUGACGGAGCAACGCCGCGUGAGUGAUGAAGGUCUUCGGAUCGUAAAACUCUGUUAUUAGGGAAGAACAAAUGUGUAAGUAACUGUGCACGUCUUGACGGUACCUAAUCAGAAAGCCACGGCUAACUACGUG